GAUGAACGCUAGCUACAGGCUUAACACAUGCAAGUCGAGGGACCGGCGCACGGGUGAGUAACACGUAUCCAACCUGCCCUUUACUCGGGGAUAGCCUUUCGAAAGAAAGAUUAAUACCCGAUAUAAAGGAUGGGGAUGCGUUCCAUUAGGUUGUUGGUGAGGUAACGGCUCACCAAGCCUUCGAUGGAUAGGGGUUCUGAGAGGAAGGAACCCCACAUUGGAACUGGGACACAGUCCAAACUCGUACGGGAGGAAGCAGUGAGGAAUAUAGGUCAAUGGGCGCUAGCCUGAACCGGCCAAGUAGCGUGAAGGAUGAAGGCUUAUGAGACGAAAACUUCUUAUAUAUGAGAAAAUGUAUUAUAUGAAUAAGGAUCGGCUAACUCCGUGACAGCCGCCGCGGUAAUUC
rnacentral:rRNA from 1 species